rnacentral:rRNA from 1 species
AGUGAACGCUGGCGGUAGGCCUAACACAUGCAAGUCGAACGGCAGCACAGUAAGAGCUUGCUCUUACGGGUGGCGAGUGGCGGACGGGUGAGGAAUACAUCGGAAUCUACUUUUUCGUGGGGGAUAACGUAGGGAAACUUACGCUAAUACCGCAUACGACCUACGGGUGAAAGCAGGGGAUCUUCGGACCUUGCGCGAAUGAAUGAGCCGAUGUCGGAUUAGCUAGUUGGCGGGGUAAAGGCCCACCAAGGCGACGAUCCGUAGCUGGUCUGAGAGGAUGAUCAGCCACACUGGAACUGAGACACGGUCCAGACUCCUACGGGAGGCAGCAGUGGGGAAUAUUGGACAAUGGGCGCAAGCCUGAUCCAGCCAUACCGCGUGGGUGAAGAAGGCCUUCGGGUUGUGAAGCCCUUUUGUUGGGAAAGAAAAGCAGCAGGUUAAUACCCCGCUGUUCUGACGGUACCCAAAGAAUAAGCACCGGCUAACUUCGUG